rnacentral:lncRNA from 1 species
ACAAAAGUAUCCUACAAAACAAGAGCACCAGGACAUGCAUACAGGUAAUGUAUAAUAAGUCAGAAAUCAGAGCUACAAUUAGCACCAUAUGAAUCAACAAUCUGAAUCACAGUCAACUUCUUUUACCAGACAGAAAGUAAACAUCUAGAUACAACAAUAGCUACAGAGGUACAAUGACUAACGGCUAAUCUCAAGAAUGUAUUUAGGUACGAUCAAGGUGCUGCAUUGUUUGACACAAGAACACACACAGGAUCGUUGAUAAAAAAAUUACGGUAAGGAAAAAUGUAACUAACUUCAAAUGAAAAACAAAAGGUGGAUGCAUCUUUGACUUCCUGUUUGGCAGUAACCUAAGUCAACUUCACUUGUUUCUGUAUCUUCUAUUGUAGAUCCAAAGCAAUGUAUCUUUUAGUCAUAACGAGAUGCGUGUAUUUUUCAGUCAUACCCAGCAAAGCAAGCAACUUCCUAGUUACAGAAAGAGAACUUCCAUGCUUGCAGUCAGGUUCAGCCUGAAUAGAUGCAAAAGACUGGAAAAUGUCUAUGAAUGAAAUUCUUAUAGUUGUUGCAUGUAAGGAAGUGCUGCUCUCGAGUGCAUCUUCUCUUAUCAUGCUUCAGGAACAGGCUAAUGAAAUAUCUGAAAUUACAACUCCAGAAGCAAAGCAUGGGCUAGUGCAAUGACAGCAUUCAACCACAAGCCCAAGCCUAUAGUUAACUAGGCCCGGAUCCAUUAAACUCUAAAAGGACCCAGAAAUGGAACUAUCUGCCCUUGUAGAAUCCAGUGUCAAUGAUUGAAUCAUGGGAGAUGCCAAGUCUCAUAGAUACCAAGUUUGAUUUCAAUAAAAGGAGAGGGGUAUAUACAGAGCAAAAUGAAAUUUAUGAUCCCAGGUGAGCGAGACAGUUUGGUCUUCUACUUACAGAACAAAACUGACAUCAUUCUACAGGCCAUAAAUCAUGUCCAGCAGAUCGAAAUUUCAAACUAUGUGCUCAUUUCCUAUGAUCAAAUUAGGAACAUUUUUAGACAUAGCAAAACAGUGGAUAUCUGAAGAUGCAGCAAACUAUGAAGAAAAAACGAAGACAAUGUAAUACAAGAAGAUGAUUGAGUUAAGACAAGAGAAACUAUCUGGAGUACCACUGUAAAUAAUACAACUGUUUAGUACGAUUCUGAAAACAUCCAGCAAAGAUGCUCUAAAAUAAAAAUACUACCCCAACUAUGAAAAAUCAACGCUGCAAUGAGAUGUGACACAAUAUCAAAGUCCAGAUUGGCCAUAGCCCAGCGCACCUUUCAACACUGUUCAGUACUUUGACAAGCGCAAACUGUAGAUAAAAUUCAGAGACAUAUAAGCUUAUUCACAAAUUGAAAUGCCAAAAUCAACUAGACAUAAUCAAAUUAGACAUUCCAAGGGGCAACUUAUUGUGUUUGCUGAUAUGUGCUCAUCAGUCCUAACUGAAAAUCCCAAACCAGACAAACUGCCGAAAGUGGGGAUGUACUCUAACUACAUAGUGUACUGAUUCUAGGGACAAAUUGCAAAGAUCAAAGUCCAGAUUGGCCAUAGCCCAGCACACCUUUCAACACAACAGUUCAGUACUUUGACAAGGGCAAACUGUAGAUAAAAUUCAUAAGACAUAUAACCUUAUUCAAGAAUUGAAAUACCAAAAUCAACUAGACAUAGUCAAAUUAGACAUUUCAAGGGGAAACUUACUGUCUUUGCUGAUUGUGUGCUCAAUAGUCCUAACUGAAAAUCCCAAACCAGACAAACAACCAGAAGUGGCAGUUUACUCUAACUAGACUGUGUGCUGACUCGAGGGACAAAAUUUCAAGGAUCAAGGUGAUGCUUAUAUGUUAAACCUUCGCAGUACCAUCAAAGCAUACGCAACACAAUUAUAAUGCACAUGAAACUUGCAAGUAGGCCAGAAUCAUGUGAAAUACAAACAACAUUUGCAACGUACUGUGCUGCUCUAGGUACCAGCCAGUAAUUUCUGUGUUCACCUACUCAAGUGCAUUGUAGACUUCAAUUUGUUUCCCCGUUAUACAACAAAAGGAUCCUACAGAACAAAAGCAACAGGACAUGCAUACGGGUAAUGUAGAAUAAGUCGGAACUCAGAGCAACAGUUAGCAUCAUAUGAAUCAACAAACUGAAUCACAGUCAACUUCUUUUACCAGACAGAAAGUAUACAUCUAGAUACAACAAUAGCUACAGAGGUACAAUGAAGAACAGCUCGUCUCAAGAAUGUAUUUAAGUACAAUCAAGCUGCUGCAUUGCUUGACACUCGCACGCACACACACACACACGCACAGGGUGGUUGAUACCAAAUUACAGUAACGCAAAAUGUUAACUAACUUCAAAUGAAAAACAAAAGGGUAUGGACUAGAUACCAGUCUAUCGCAUUUGUCUUGUGAAAAGCAUUUGUCCUGUAGAAGCACAUAUAACACCUGUGUAGCACUGGCAGGGAAAAGGCCGCCAAAUUUUAGUACUCAUAGCUC